rnacentral:rRNA from 1 species
GGCUGCAGUAGGGAAUCUUCCACAAUGGACGCAAGUCUGAUGGAGCAACGCCGCGUGAGUGAAGAAGGGUUUCGGCUCGUAAAGCUCUGUUGUUAAAGAAGAACGUGGGUGAGAGUAACUGUUCACCCAGUGACGGUAUUUAACCAGAAAGCCACGGGUAAAUACGUGCCAGCAGCCGCGGUAAUACGUAGGUGGCAAGCGUUAUCCUGAUUUAUUGGGCGUAAAGCGAGCGCAGGCGGUCUUUUAAGUGUAAUGUGAAAGCUUUCGGCUCAACCGAAGAAGUGCAUUGGAAACUGGGAGACUUGAGUGCAGAAGAGGACAGUGGAAAUCCAUGUGUAGCGCUGAAAUGCGUAGAUAUAUGGAGGAACACCAGUGGGGAAGGCGGCUCUCUGGUCUGUAACUGACGCUGAGGCUCGAAAGCGUGGGUAGCGAACACGAUUAGAUACCCCGGUAGUCCACGCCGUAAACGAUGAUUACUAAGUGUUGGAGGGUAUCCGCCUUUCAGUGCUGCAGCUAACGCAUUAAGUAUCCGCCUGGGAUACCCCCACUG